CCCUAGAAAAUAUAUUUUUUUUAUCUACUUAAAAGUUAAAAGUAAAAUAAAGUUUAUUUUCAGUUUAAUAAGAAGUUCUACUGGUUAAAUUAAAAUGUACAACGUAUAUAAUAUACUUUAUAACCAAUUUUUAAUGUUAUUAAUCUACCAUUUGCAUUUUUAAGUGUAAUCUGUGAAAACAAUAAGUAUACAGAUGUAACAUUUUUUAUUACAGAUAUGGAUAUAUGUAACAAUACAAUGAUAUGAGGUUCUUAGAGCUUCUUAUGGGGUUAAGAAAAGAGAAUACACUAAGAAAAAUGGAAAGAAAUUAGAUUUUCUUUUGGGAAGAUGUGAACUUGCCUAGAAUUUCGUAAGGAAACUGUGUGCCAAAAAUGAGUAAGCUGGAGCAACAAGAUUGGAAUCCUGUUGCUUUCGAAUGAGUCCUGCUUGUGAUUCUGCAAGUACCUCUUCAGAAAAUUAUAAUAUUAUUACAUGGACUCGAUGCUGUACUCCUGAAGAGAUGCAGUGGUAACAGAUGUAAACUUGUCUAGAAUUUCGUAAGGAAACCUCUCCGGCUGUAUUCAAGGACAGUGUGUGCCAAAAAUGAGUAAGCUGGAGCAACAAGAUUGGAAUCCUGUUGCUUUCGAAUAAGUCCUGCCUGUGAUUCUGCAAGUACCUCUUCAGAAAAUUAUACUAUUAUUACAUGGACUCCAUGCUGUACCUCCUGAAGAGAUGCAGUGGUAAUAGAGAUAUUCGCAAGUUACUGGAAAUAUGAAUAUCCGGUAUACAUCAGAAAGAAAAUUCUAUUGAAAAAUCAACGGGCAAUCCAAGAAUCCAAGGACUUAUGUUAUUUGUGCUGUAUAUUGUGUCUAACAAUACAUUUAUAAUUAAUUGUGUUAAUAUUGUAGUUAUAAACCAUUCUUUUUCUAAUAAAUCUUA
rnacentral:lncRNA from 1 species